CAGUCGCCACGGUAAUACGAAGGGGGCUAGCGUUGCUCGGAAUGACUGGGCGUAAAGGGCGCGUAGGCGGAUGGCACAGUCAGAUGUGAAAUUCCCGGGCUUAACCUGGGGGCUGCAUUUGAUACGUGUUGUCUAGAGUGAGGAAGAGGGUUGUGGAAUUCCUAGUGUAGAGGUGAAAUUCGUAGAUAUUGGGAAGAACACCGGUGGCGAAGGCGGCAACCUGGUCCUUGACUGACGCUGAGGCGCGAAAGCGUGGGGAGCAAACAGGAUUAGAUACCCCGGUAGUCCCUGUCUCUUAUAC
rnacentral:rRNA from 1 species